AGCCGCAGAAGGCCAUUGCUUUCACCUCCUGCAUGUGAGCUCCCAAAGGCACCUGGUGAGCCACUGCUAGUAGCAGAGAACUGGACUAGAUGGACUCUGGUCUCACCCACAGGCUCUUUCGUAUGUUCUUAAACUCUGCAGCCUGGAAAUGCGGUUGUCAUUCCUGGAGAACUCCAGGCAAUGCCUGGAGGUUGGCAGCAGGAGGCUCAAGACGAUUUAAUCCAAUAGAGGCGUUCUGGAUAGCAAGGAGUGGAUGUAGCCAAAUAAACAUUAAUGAAAAGCAAGAAGAGCCUGCAUUUGAAACAUCAUUUUAUUUCAGGCUAUUGACACAAUCUAAUUGGCUUGACAAAGAAUACGAAAUAAAACGAAAUCCGGAGGUCUUAUAGCCUCUAAGCCUUUAAAAAGCCUCUAUAUAAACUUCUUGUUACUUUACCUGUUGGAUUUAAAUAUCCCUGGAUGUAUCAUUAGAAGAAGUGAAGAUUGGGACUGUCACAGUUAUAAAUCAGUUGUCACAAUUGUAAAUCAUUUGUUUAUGACUCAAGUAUUGAGCUUUGUAUGCCAAGGUGUAAUAUAUGUUAAAAUGCCGAAAGUUGGCAGCAGAAGGCUCAAGACGAUUUAGUCCAAUAUCAGUGUUCUGGAAUGCAAUGAGUGGAUGUAGCCAAAUAACCAUUAAUGAAAGGUGUCAAUUUAAGCCCGCUUCAUCGAAUGCAGUGAGUAGGGAUGUUUUACGGACAUUUCAUGGGGGAGGUUUGGAGAACAAACAAAACAGCAGGGACAAGGAGCAAGGCCGCGUAGGAAAUAUAGUGUGAAAUACAGACUCUUCUUGAGAGUCAGCUUAGCGGAGAGACCCAGGUUCGAAUCCCCUCUCUUCCAUGGAAGCUCACUGGUUGACCUGGGCCAGCCACACAGUCUAAGCCUAACCCACCUCACGGGAUUGUUGUGAGCAUAAAAUGGAGGAUGACGGCAACCACUUUGGGUCUCCACUGGGGAGAAAGGGAGGGUGUCAACAAAAUAAAACUUGGGGAACUCAGUCACCUUAAAUUACCGCAAUGGGUUGUUGUAGGAAUAAAAUUAAGGUGACAAGAAAAAUGUGAGCUGCUUUGAGGCCCCAGCGGGACUUCGCCCUUCCCCAUGCGCUGUCGGCAUGUAGUCAAAAUGCCCUACGGAUCCCCUAUUAGCUUUCUUUGCAAAAUCUUGUUACUUAUAUAGCUGUGGGUAAGUUACACAGUGGAGCCAACAGUACAACAGACAACCUGGGAAAGCGAAAAUGGGGGAAGGGGAGAGACUGAAGCCAAGAGAAAAGGGUAUGUGCGAGUCUGGGAGAUACAAGACUCCCCUUAAAUGGCAGAUGCAAGGUCUCCAAAGACUUUGUAAUGCUUGCAGAGCUCAAGACGAGGUCUUUCCUAUCCCCUGAUCCUAUUAACUGGAGAUCCGAUUUAAUUAGAUUACACUACUUGUUGGACAAUCCUGAUCCUUCUCUCUGUAUGAUAGUGGCAGACUUUCUCCUGGAAAUUACUAAAUGCCAGUAGAUUUCCUUCAACCUAACAUUUAUUUCCUGUAUUGUAUAUGCUUUUUAAAUCCGUUUUUUUAUUAUUGUUGUACUGUUGUCUAUGCCAAUAAAGUCUUGCUACUGCUUAACUGGAGAUCAGAGGUGUAUGUAGGGAAAACGUAGCCCGGUGCAAAAUCUGAGUUUUCCACCCCACCACCACCCCACCGCCCCGAAUAGGCUGCUGUCCAUCCGCACCAGGACCAAACAACAUUAGUCUUGAAAUCAGUGUAUGGAUUAAAUGGCUGCAGCCCAGGGACAUUUGAUCCCGUAUGUCCCCCUGGGCUACUUACAAUACCAUAUAGACAGCAAGUCCCAACCAUUUAUCCAAGUGUCCACCAUGCAUAGCAUCCAUAUUUUCGCAGGGAAAUUUUGCCAGAGGUACAGAAGGAGAAAAAUCUAAAGACUGAUAAAGUGGCAGAGAAAGAUAGCGAGUGGGAAGGAAGGAGUUUGGAUUCAUGCUCCCCUUUCUCUCCUCUAAGGCGACGCAAAGGGGUUCACAAACCUCUUUCCCUUCCUCUCCCCACAACAGAAACCUUGUGAAGUAGGUGGGGCUGAGAGAGUUUUGGGAGAACUGUGACU